rnacentral:rRNA from 1 species
GUCCACACUGGGACUGAGACCCGCCCCAGAGUCUUACGGGCGGCAGCAGUGGGCAAUAUUGGGCAAUGGGGGAAAGCUUGACCCAGUAUUGCCGCGGGAAGGAUUAAGGCAUUGGGGUUGUAAACUUCUUUUAUUAGGUACGACGGAUGUGACGGUACCUAAUGAAUAAGCCCCGGCUAACUACGUGCCAGCAGCCGCGGUAAUACGUAGGUGGCAAGCGUUGUUCGGAUUUAUUGGGUGUAAAGGGCGUGUAGGCGGGAAUGCAAGUCAGAUGUGAAAUCCAUGGGCUCAACUCAUGAAGUGCAUUUGAAACUGUUUUUCUUGAGUGAUGGAGAGGCAGGCGGAAUUCCUAGUGUAGCGGUGAAAUUCGUAGAUAUUAGGAGGAACACCAGUGGCGAAGGCGGCUUUCUGGACAUCAACUGACGCUGAUGCGCGAAAGCGCGGGGAGCAAACAGGAUUAGAUACCCUGGUAGUCCGCGCCGUAAACGAUGAACACUAGGUGUGGGGGGGAAUUGACCCUUUCCGUGCCGGCAGC